rnacentral:rRNA from 1 species
UACGAGGGGGGCAAGCGUUAUUCAAUUUAACUGGGCGUAAAGCGUCUGUAGGUGGCUUUUCAAGUCCGCCGUCAAAUCCCAGGGCUCAACCCUGGACAGGCGGUGGAAACUACCAAGCUGGAGUACGGUAGGGGCAGGGGGAAUUUCCGGUGGAGCGGUGAAAUGCAUUGAGAUCGGAAAGAACACCAACGGCGAAAGCACUCUGCUGGGCCGACACUGACACUGAGAGACGAAAGCUAGGGGAGCAAAUGGG